GAUGAACGCUGGCGGCGUGCCUAAUACAUGCAAGUCGAGCGAACAGACGAGGAGCUUGCUCCUCUGACGUUAGCGGCGGACGGGUGAGUAACACGUGGAUAACCUACCUAUAAGACUGGGAUAACUUCGGGAAACCGGAGCUAGUACCGGAUAAUAUAUUGAACCGCAUGGUUCAAUAGUGAAAGACGGUUUUGCUGUCACUUAUAGAUGGAUCCGCGCCGCAUUAGCUAGUUGGUAAGGUAACGGCUUACCAAGGCAACGAUGCGUAGCCGACCUGAGAGGGUGAUCGGCCACACUGGAACUGAGACACGGUCCAGACUCCUACGGGAGGCAGCAGUAGGGAAUCUUCCGCAAUGGGCGAAAGCCUGACGGAGCAACGCCGCGUGAGUGAUGAAGGUCUUCGGAUCGUAAAACUCUGUUAUUAGGGAAGAGCAAAUGUGUAAGUAACUAUGCACGUCUUGACGGUACCUAAUCAGAAAGCCACGGCUAACUACGUG
rnacentral:rRNA from 1 species